CCUCUCCCAGGGCGAUCGACUGUGACGCCAUUUUUGUGUGCAUCUCGUAGGGAGAUUUCUGCAGCCGGCGCAGGACCGGGCAUGGAAGAAGCAGGCAUGGAGUUCCUUCUGGACGCCGUGGACAGGUUCCCCUUGCUUGAGGAAUUCGCUGACAGCGUUGAGCAGCCAGAUCCAGUUCCUCUGGCGCGGAUGCAAGCGAACGAGCCCAGUUACGCGGGUAGCGCUGUCUCAAAAGAUGAUUCUGGAUGCGGGCAACAGAUUGGCAAAGUUGAGGUGAACGAAAGGCAACCUGCUGCUCGCCGCCGUACGAACACAUCUCCAACUCGGUCUACCCAUCAACUGACAGGGUGAACCCAGAAGCCCCCGGGUGGACUAAAAGGUACGAUUGCAGAGGCCCUCCUUUGUUAUUGCAAGAUUGCAUUGCUGUGCUGAGUUCAGGGGAAUGGUUUGCCAAUAUCUACUUGUGAGAUUUAACUUCAGAAACAUGUACGUUCGUUUCAGCAGAAGCUAAACCUGCGAAUUUGAGAAAAAUGUUUUGGCAAAAACAACUUGUGAGUUGAAACUGAAGAAAAAUAGAUAGUUCAAGGGUAGUGGGAGUUCAAAUUUGCGUUCGUGGUAAAGGAUGUGCUACUUAACUGUAAUCUAUUGAAUUUUGACUGGUGGAAUAAGGUUACAGCUAGGGAGCGCGCCACCGGACAGGACACCAUGUCCCAGCCGUAUGAGCGCUUUGGAGGAGUCGAUGCGCAAGUAUGCUGAAGAACCCAGCAAAAAUGUGGUGCGGCGGACACUUGGUCUGACUUUUGAUUCGCUUGGUGAGGCAUACGACUUCUACAAUUUGUAUUCCUGGGAAACCGGUUUCGGCAUUAGAUAUGGAAAGAGCCGGCUGAACGUUGAGAGGACAAAGUGCAUGCAAGAAAUAGUGUGCGGUUGCUCGGGGAAGCCAGAAGCAGAAAAUAGUAGAUCAUGCAGGUGUGAGUGUCCAGCUUUGAUAAGAUUGUUGCGAGCAGCGGACAACAGCUGGUACAUUACAGAACACAGAGAGAACCAUAAUCAUUCAAUGUCAUUGACAAUGGGUGAGAAAGUUCAAUGGCCGUCGCACAAGAACAUUGAUGUGUACACUAAGGAUCUCAUAAAACAGCUACGGGAGAACAAUGUUAACCUUGGCAAGGUAUACAGCAUAAUAGGAAGUUUCUUCCGGUCGGUUGAGAAGGUUCCAUUCACUAAGAGGACCCUGAGGAACAUAUGCGGGAAGAUCAGUCGGGAGCAGGCUGAUGAUGAUGUUAGGAAGACACUUGAAGUGUUCGCUGACAUACAGGCUGGUGACCCUGGUUUCACAUACAGAGUGCUGGCUGAUGAUACAAGCAAAGUGAAGAACCUGAUGUAGGCAAAUGGGAGCAGCCGUAUGCAGUACCGUUUCUUUGGAGAUGUUGUCACUUUUGACACAACAUAUAGGACUAACUUGUACGACAUGCCUUUUGGAUUAUUUGUUGGGGUAAACAAUCAUUUUCAGAGCAUCAUCCUACCUGGGGUGCUGAUGCGCGACGAGCAGCAAGAGAGCUUCGAAUGGGUUUUCGCCGAGUUCCUUCGAAUGAUGGGAGGACCUGCCCCAAAGACUAUCUUGACAGAUCAGUGUAGAGCUAUGAAACUAGCUAUCAAGAAGGUGUAUCCAGAUACGGUGCAUAGGUGGUGCAAGUGGCACGUGCUGAAGAAAGCAAAGGAGAGUCUGGGACCUUUGUACACCAAAAAAAAUGACUUCUAGGCUGAUUUUCACAAAGUCGUGAACCACAUGUUAACCGAAGAUGAGUUCGAGACGGCAUGGGGUAUGUUGCUGGAUAAGUACAAUUUGCGGAAGCACGCAUAUAUGACACAGAUUUAUGAGAUUCGAACAAAGUGGGCCAAACCAUACUUUAGAGGUGUUUUCUGUGCCAAGAUGACCAGCACACAACGGAGCGAGAGUGCCAAUCACAUGUUGAAGACAUACAUGCCCCCAGCUAGCCCCAUGCAUGUGUUUGUGAGGCAGUAUAUGCGACUGCAAUUUGACAGGGAGCGUGAAGAGAGCUACGAGGAGAAAAGAACUAUGAUUGGAGGUGCAGUGAGAAGAACAAAUUUGGCUAUAUAGAGGCACGCCAGUAAAAUAUACACCCGAUCUAUGUUUGAGGAGUUUGGGAGGUUGCUGAUGGAAGCCACAGCAUAUAACAUAACGGAGAUAGAGAAAAUGAAGAAGUAUGUGGCAACCCACAAUAAUGCGGCAAAGAGAGAGAGAGAGAGAUGGAGCAGAGUUGUUUACGAGGUUACUAUCGCGGAUGAUCAAAAGGAGUUUACUUAUGAGUGUGGUCAAUUCAAACACACUGGUUUGCUGUGCAGCCACAUUCUAAGGGUAAUGGAAAUACUACACCUAGAACAUAUUCCAUCUAAACAUAUUGUGAAAAGGUGGACGAAGGACGCAAGAGACAUUCUACCAAGCCAUCUGCAGCGGUACCAAAAGGACAAGCGGACCAACACAUCGUUCACAUGGAGGCAUUCGACACUGUACUUCAAAGCUAUGGACGUCGUUCGAAUGGGGGAUGCGAGUGCAGAAUCGUCUGAUUUCAUGCUAGCUGGGAUGGAAGAUCUACUAGUACGUGGAGCACCUAUUGCAGAGAGGAGAGAUGGCCUCGGGUUUGAGGAUCGGGUGACGACCUUAGACCCUGUGAGGCAAAAUGAUAAUGGAGAAGUUGCUUUGGUGCUCGGUACAGGUGCCGAUAAAGAGAAUAGCAUGGCACAUUCUGUCAGCGUCAAUGACUUGGAAGGGCUCACAGCACCCGCUAAACAGAGGGGGGUUGGUAGGCCAACCAAUAGCAGGGAGAAGGCAUCGUACGAAGGACUCAGUCAAUGUACACAUUUCUGCAGCAUUUGCAGGAGGGAAGGACAAAAAAGAACUACAUGUCCUAACAGAAGGGACGCACCAAAAAAGCCGAGGAAACCUGGUCGAUGCAAGAACUGCGGAAUCGAAGGUCACCGUCGGAACACAUGCACGAGGCCAUUGGGGUUCGCUGCAAACUAAUUUUCAACAUUCAUGUCUUAUGGUUUGCCGAUCGGAAUUUACUAGUUUGUUGUACUACGAACUGCUCUUUGCAUGCUUAUCUCCACUUAGAUGGUAUUCAUAGUUGCAUGAUGAAAAAAGAUUAUAUUGUGUCAGCUGUUCGUCCAUGCUCUAUGACAAUGUAGCAAGAUAAAAUGUGCUGGACUUGAGUGAGGACUUA